rnacentral:tRNA from 1 species
AUCUGGCUGGCUCAGUUGGUAGAGCAUGCGACUCUUGAUCUCAGGGUUGUGAGUUCAAGCCCCAUGUUGGGCC